rnacentral:rRNA from 1 species
GACGAACGCUGGCGGCGUGCCUAAUACAUGCAAGUAGAACGCUGAAGAGAGGAGCUUGCUCUUCUUGGAUGAGUUGCGAACGGGUGAGUAACGCGUAGGUAACCUGCCUUGUAGCGGGGGAUAACUAUUGGAAACGAUAGCUAAUACCGCAUAACCAUGGAUGACACAUGUCAUUUAUUUGAAAGGGGCAAUUGCUCCACUACAAGAUGGACCUGCGUUGUAUUAGCUAGUAGGUGAGGUAAUGGCUCACCUAGGCGACGAUACAUAGCCGACCUGAGAGGGUGAUCGGCCACGCUGGGACUGAGACACGGCCCAGACUCCUACGGGAGGCAGCAAUAGGGAAUCUUCGGCAAUGGGGGCAACCCUGACCGAGCAACGCCGCGUGAGUGAAGAAGGUUUUCGGAUCGUAAAGCUCUGUUGUAAGUCAAGAACGGGUGUGAGAGUGGAAAGUUCACACUGUGACGGUAGCUUACCAGAAAGGGACGGCUAACUACGUG